ensembl:lncRNA
CUCUCUCUCUCUCUCUCUCUCUCUCUCUCUCUCUCUCUCUCUCUCAUCUCUCUCUCUUAAUCAUUGGGGGGUUACCACAGUAACACCUAUAUCCCCUCUGACAGACAGACAAACUCUCCCAAGAUGUCUGAAAUUGCCCGUGCAUUACACAUGAAUGAAUAUGAACUCACAGUCACCUGACAGACGCAUGCAAACACACACACUCAUGUAUGCAAACACACAAACACACACACAUGCAAACCAACAAACACACACACACACACACACACACACGCAACCCCCCUGGCCCCCACACACAUAAACUUGCAAAAAAAAACUACACACACACACACACUCUUACAUACAUACCAUGACCCCCGAACACAUGUGCUUAUUUCUGUACAUCUAGGAUGCUUACAGACACGCACACACACACGCACGCACGCACACACACACACACACACACACACACACACACACACACACACACACACACACACACACACACACACACACACACACACACACUUAACAUGGAAGAGAUGGCUCUGAUUUAUGUGUGGUCAGAGGUCAAAGAGAACUCUCAUCUCGUCCCUCGUUCUCAUGUCACAUCGGGGGUCUGACGUCUCCAUAAACGCUCCAAACGAUGCACUCUAACUCGGCAGAGAUUAAGACCUGUACUUUAAUGGGGCUGGUCUGUACGAAACCACAAAGAUGUCACUUUGACAUGUUAGAAAGGGAGCAACACACACAAAACGAUCACAGCUUCCAUUUGUACAAUUUUCGUUUUUGUGUAUUUGUACAGAACGUAUUCAGUUUCUUGUCUAGCGUUCACAGUAGCCUGAUUAAAACUGACAAAAAUUAGAUUUAUACUUUUUGGGAAAGGGGAUGAAAUUGUGAAAUACUUGAUCAAACGGUGUCCCAGUUGUUUGAGAUGGUUCACCAUUUUGGACCUCAGCGAAAUAUUGAUCAACAACAACUUUGUUCUUUCGGCUUAAGAAGAGAUCAGACUUUCUGACAUAUGAAUCUAGCAUAUUAGCAUGACCUUUAGCAUCACAUAACCAAUUAUGGGAAAAAUGAUGGGAAAACCCCCGCAGAAGGAAAUAUGUCUCUGACUAAUAAAGGCAUGGGAAAGUUCUAGUCCUGCCCCUCCUGUACGUUACAGAGCUUGGGAACCUGGGCAUCAAGUGGUUCCACAACCCGUCACUUCACCAUGUCGCCAAAGACCCAUGGGCCAGAACUCUCCUUCACGAGUGCGGAUGGCUCUUAGCUAACAGCGGUAAACGCUAACCCGGUGAGCCAUAUCUAUAAGAGAUUUUUGUUUCUCAAAGGGUCAAAGAUAAUUAAAUAAUGGUUCAAGCUACAUUUUUUGCGAAAAAUUCAAAUUCUAUAAAAACAAAUAAUCGCCAUCUGUCAUCGACUUGACUUCGGCAACUUUUACGCUAAAUACAAGAUCAACCAUAUUAUAUGACUAAGGCAAUUAUGCUAUGAGGCCAACAAAGUACACAAAACACAACACACACUCGCUCAAAGCCCAUAUCGACCUCAAACCGUCCGUCAUUCGAGUUGAGUUCCCAUCGUUCCCAAGACCCAACAAAGUGUUCCAUUCUCGUAGCUAUUCGCUAUUGCCCUAACAGGGUAUAACUAUAAAAAACCCUUCCAUGUACUCAUGUUCACUCCGAUGUGGUCGUCACAUGACUGUCCUGACACCCCGGCCUUCGGCGUCUCCAUCUGGAGCCUGGGUGCGGUUCGAGCCCCAAAGACAACUCCUAGAGUCAAGAGGCAACAUUUGAAUUCCGGUUUAAUUACAGUUUAAAAAUAUAACUUAUUUCCAAUUUUCACAGUAGCGCCUGUUAUGUGUGGGACGUCCCAUCUCGCCUGUCCGCUAAUUACCCUCCGUGUCCCCUCUGCGGGCUGUUUCCUCUCUCUGAGCGCCUCUCUGUGAUUGGCCUAAAAGAAGGUAUUGUAACAUAAACCCCGUGUCGCCGUCCUAGCUCCUGGUUUCCCGAAGGCCGUGAAGCAGCCGGGCAGGAAGCAAAACAAAAUUGUCAAAUAUGUUUUCUUGUUCUUCCCCCAAACAGAAAUGCGGUUGUUCGACGGCGUGGAUGCACCCCGUGGGGAAUUGGUGGUGGGGUCAGCCCGGCGCUCUCUCUCACCCCCGCCUCGCGCCACAAGCUGGUCGCUCCAAUGCCGCAACGCUGAGGCACAGCAUCCACGGGUCCUGAGGCGACCGUGGUGUUGGCUGGUUUCACUGUUGGUGAGUCCCUUCCAGUCCCCACCUUAAGGUCUUAAGGCACCUUAAGGACCUUAAGGUGUCCGCACCUUAAGGACCUUAUGGUGUCCGCACCUUAAGAUCUUAAGGUGCGGAAACCCACCAGUGCUCGGGCGACCGCAGUGCUCGCUGGUUUCAUUUUCCUCCAGUCUGCCCCUUAAAACCUCAAGGGAGCCGGAGGUGCACUCUGACGGACACGCUGCUGAGCCAGCAAUCUGUCAGCAGUUACAAGGGCGGGUUGUGAGGGUUACCAGUCGGUCUACUGGUUCUAAGGGUUACCAGUCGGCCUACAGGUUGAUUUUUUUGGGUUACCAGUCGGUCUACAAGUUGAUUCUUUGGGUUACCAGUCGGACUACAAGUUGGUUUCUUAGCAUUACAAGGUGGUCUUGAGUUUGGUCUCUCAACCUUACAAGUUGGACUACAGGUUUAUUUUUAAGGUAACCAGGUGGUCUACAUGUUGUUUCUCUCAGAGUUCAAAAGUUAAUCUACAAGUUGGUUAAUGAAGUUCACAAGUUGAUGCAGAUGCUGGCUACUCAAUGUUUCAGGUUGGCCUAAUGAUUAGUGUCUCAGGGUUAGUCUUUCCUCCAGGCUGGUUUCUGAAGGCUACAAGUCGACGUCAGAUUGGGCUGGUCCUGAAACGGUCAGAGCUUCGGGACAGUUUGAAUCUGGGUCUAGAUCCUAGAGAGCCGCUGGUCCAUGAGGAGGCCUGCAGUGCUGGGCUCCAUCCCACACCCCUCCAUCAGAACCCUCCUCUGAAACUCUGAAACAUCUAGAGAGAGAGAGAGAGAGAGAGAGAGAGAGAGAGAGAGAGAGAGAGAGAGAGAGAGAGAGAGAGAGAGAGAGAGAGAGCGAGAGAGAGAGAGAGA